AUUGAACGCUGGCGGCAUGCCUUACACAUGCAAGUCGAACGGUAACGCGGGGCAACCUGGCGACGAGUGGCGAACGGGUGAGUAAUGCAUCGGAACGUGCGCAGUAGUGGGGGAUAGCCGGCGAAAGCCGGAUUAAUACCGCAUACGACCUACGGGUGAAAGCGGGGGAUCGCAAGACCUCGCGCUAUUGGAGCGGCCGAUGUCAGAUUAGGUAGUUGGUGGGGGAAAGGCCUACCAAGCCUUCGAUCUGUAGUCGGUCUGAGAGGACGACCCGCUACACUGGGACUGAGACACGGCCCCGACUCCUACGGGAGGCAGCAGUGGGGAAUUUUGGACAAUGGGCGCAAGCCUGAUCCAGCCAUGCCGCGUGCGGGAAGAAGGCCUUCGGGUUGUAGACCGCUUUUGUCAGGGAAGAAACGCUCUGGGCUAAUACCUCAGGGUAGUGACGGUACCUGAAGAAUAAGCACCGGCUAACUACGUGCCAGCAGCCGCAGUAA
rnacentral:rRNA from 1 species